GAACCACGCGCGGUUUCUUCGCCAAUUGAAUCAAACCUCGUUGCACCUGUUUCUGGGAGAGUCCAUGGUUCUGAAGCUCCGUCUUCAACUGAAACAAUCGCCACCGUAGCUCAAGAUUUAAUCCCCGUUGCCGCAUGGUCGCCCGGAAAUAUUAUUUUUUUCCCCGAUAUUCCCGAAGGAGCAAACGAAACUCGAAGAGAGGGGAAGAUUGGGAAAAAAACAAACGAGCCGAGCGCGCACGUCGACGAUCGGCAUUUAUGUUUGUACGCUCGUUUGUUUUUCCCCGGCGACCCUCUCGCGUCGACGGGUCCCGGCCGGUACUUCGAAGUAGCGCUCGAAGAAAACGAAAAAACGUCUCUGUUCUCGUGCCGCGAGUGGAAAAAAAGAGGGAAAGAUCGUAAUUGUAGAAGCGAAUCGCACCUUCCUGAGCAGUUUGCAACGGCGCACAGUCCCGACACGGUGUAACCACUGUUUCAACACUAGGUUGCUGAAGUUCACUGAUUUAAUAGCCUCAGUUUUCACGGUUUGCGUCAUCGUUGUUGAUACACCCAGCGAGGAUUAUUAUUACUAUUCGUGGUCCUUCCUGUGUCGGAGCAACAAUGUUUUCGCGCGCAGCAGUAGGACAGUGCUACCGUUGUUCCGGGAAAGAGCAGUCACGUUAUUGAAAAGCUAACGGAUGCUCUGAGAAAUUACUAGAGAAAUUGAUUUAGUAAUACGGAUACUACAGUGCAAAUCAAUUGAAGUCUCAAUAGUUGCACCAUUUAGUUUCUACACAGAAAUUUCAAACAGACAGUUUGACCGCUUGGUAGUUUUAACGUUAAAAAUAUUUUCUUACAGAAAUUAGCGUGUACCAUAUAUAGUAUACGUGGCACUGAACGUGUUAAGAUAUAAUUGUUUCAUUUUGAUGAAGCUUUGUAUGGAUGACAAGAGUGUAAUGAAUGGUAUAAUAACAACUUUUCCUGAUCAACACUUGUGACAGUGAGACUAUUCGGCGUGAGCGAAAUUUAAGUUCGGGUUUAUUAAUACAACAAGCUUGUAGAUUUGAAUUCCGCAUUAAUCUACUUUAGAGGGGAGAGUUAUCGCUAUAUUUGUGCUACUGGUUAUCAUAAGCGUCGAGUGGUUUGAUGAUAGAAGUAUGCAGCUAAUUGUGAACGGAUACUGCACACAAUAUAAGUUAAAUAUACGAACCUUUAAUGAGUGUAAUUAUGUUUUGUGUAAUAAUUCGCUAAAUAUCUCAUCAAUGACAACAGAGGACAUUUAUAUAACUUUCUCAUCUGGUGAUUAUAUAACCAUGUUUAUAAGUCGUGGUAUUUUCACCACUAAUGUUUUCAUUGUUUACACUAAUCUCGAGAAGAGAGAUCUUAUUAAAACAAUACGGUUAUCGCGAAAUAAAGAAUGAAAAAGCUUGGUAUCAUCUGCAUACAACGCAUACAAUAUAAAUUUACAGAACACAAGGACAAACUUGUAUUUAUUUUGGUACUUUUAUUUCUCUCAUUACGCCGCGCCAGCAUCCCGCACAAAAUGAGACACGUCGUGAUGACUAAUAGCUGAGAACGAGAUAAUGAAAAUAUUCAGGAAUUCGGCAUAACGUAGUAAACACAAGGACCAAGGACUCCCAUUGUCAUCAGAAGAGACUAUAAAAACCCCAUGAGACCGUGACCGACCUGUAGUGUUCUCCAAACAAACAAUAUUUUCAAUCGAGUAUUCUUCGACUGUCGGAUUACGAUGUUACUAAAUAUUGUAAAAUCGAAUAGAGCUUGUUCGUUUAACACUAGAACUACCAGAUAGGUCAAAAUGACCCAUUCCCGAUUGCUUUAAUAAUCAUUAAAAUCAUAACAAAUAAUUCUGUGAGAAAUUACUACAGAAAUUGAUUCAGCAAUAGGCAAACUGAAUUGUAAAUCGAUAAAAAUCUCAACAGUAGCAUUAUUGGAGUUCCCAUAGAAAAAUUUCAAAAAGUCUAUUUGACUGUUCGGUAGUUCUAGUGUGAAUAAAGUCUUUCUUUUGAACUAUUUAAGACAACAAUUGAAGAUAUUCGAAUAAUGCAAUUGUUCAAUUCGAACAUUGCACGAAACAGGAUCCCACGAGAAUGGUGAAUCUCCACAUACUUUUAAGCAGCAGUGGAAAUUAACCACAUACUGUAUCAUUCGAGGGCUAUAUACGAAAUAAACUUUGAUCUCAUUAUGCAAUUUAUUGUUGCCAUGAGAUUGCGCUUGAACGAUAGCGUGUAAGAGGAGUGUUUUCAUGUGUAACAGAACGAUAAGCGGAGGGAAUUCCGAACAAACUUCUACAGUUUUUUGCUUACAUGGUCCCAGCCAGCCCAAGUCUGAAACGGGCAGAGAGGCAAGGAGAGACGUCCACUCGCAGCGCUCGGCGCGAUAGCAAUGGCGGAAUUAGUUUCUUUGUUACUGGCCGAGCCGCGAGCUGAGGUGGAGCGUGCGGCCGAAUCCUCUUGGCUCUCUUACCCGUUCAGAUGCCGGUCGGCUGGGAUCGUAUGUUGGAGCUACGAUGAAGACUAACCACUCGAAGAACGUGGAAACACUUCUCCUACCUGAUUUUCCCAGAGAAAGACAAUGAUCCUUUGAGGUUCCGGAUCAAGCAAAGGAUUAAUCCUUACGAAAAGUAAAGCCAGAGAGAACUCAAGUCCUAACGACGUCUUAAAGAUGAUAAACACACAUCCAUAGUGAUCAACUUGCUAAUCCCCGUAUUCGGGUUGCACCUAUAGGUCCUUACCACUUGGCCCUAGGAUACCUGCGAAGACUAUAGAUGAUUAGUCCUUUAUGAUGCACGCUUUCCGAUCUCACUUUCGCCUCGCCGAAAGGGAUUCCUAAGUCGGAAUGAUCGUAUCCAGAAAGCCUUCACGAAGGUUCAGUUACAGCGGAAAUCUCUUUAUCUUAUCAAAACUGAUUAAAUCUCGGUUCAAGGAUCAGUUUUUUAGGAACAGAUAACGAGUCCCCUAAACUCCAACAACACGCCUUAGCCCUGAGAAGUACAUUUCGAUAGUGAUGAAGACUCCUGCAUGAAGACACCGGUAAAUACUCACAGUACCGUAGGGGAAAAGACGAAGGAUUUUUUAAUGGGUGUACACGGCAUGCGAGUCCCAACUUAAAACAAUAGUCGUUUGUCUUAGACAAAGUAGGUCCACAACGUUGGAGACUUUAACGACUACCCUAAUUCAAACUGUUUAUCCUACCGGACCUAUCUCGAGGAACUACGCUGGGUCAGCUUAAACCCAUGAUUUCAAAAACCCUACCGUGCAUACCGUAUGUAAAUUCAAACGUAGCAAUUGUCAGAAAUAUAGUCGUGAAGCGCAUUCCAUAUUAACCGUUUGAGUGCCGCGUUGUAACGCUCUUCUUAUGUUGUGCCAAAAUUGCGGGGAGCGCGAUAAAGUUUCUCUUUAUCAGUAUCAAUUAUAAUUUUCUUAGUAUGUUUUUCAAGAAAUAAAUCAAAGUAAAUUUAUUUGAUUAAAUGUCACUUCUUGAUAUCACUUUUCGUGGUAAUACGAUAUUCGUGAUCGAAUUAGGUAACUACUCUUAACCAUUUGUUCUGUGAUUUAUUUCAGAACCUUGAUGGAUACAACUAUUUUGUUAUUAACCCUUUGCACUUGGGAGGUAACUCUCAGUCACCACUUAAUUUGACAGAGUAAACUAUGGAAUCUGAUAUUUAAUUGAACUUUGUAUAGUACCUCGACACGCGAAAUAUUAGAAUAAAAUAACUUUGUUCCUCAAUGUAUUGGUGAUUUCUCUUCGAGUUAGUCUCGAAGAAUAUCGUCUUCGCCUUAAAAAAUGCCAAAAAAUGUUAAAUAUUUCUAGUAAGAAACUUCCGAGUGCAAAGGGUUGAUAAUUCAUUGGAAACAGAGACAAAUUUUGGGCACAUUCUAUGUCUGUGUUUGCUCUGGAGUAUAACAUGUGAUAACAAAAGAAUAAUAUUUCAUUUGGGUUCAAAAGAAUCAAGUAAUGUUUAUACUUGUUGAAUUCUGUUUGAAAUCUUUACCACGUGCCUGACACGAUAUUGUAGGGCAAAGAGUGAAUUUUCUUUCAUACACACCCAAUCACUUUCGCAUUUUCCGUAUAUAUCCACAAAAUUUGUUUAGCUCUCAAACGGUUAAACAUUGCUAUGUUACAUGUGCAGUGCACAGAAAUAUUUUAGUUGUAUUUUAUGUCAUUCAUAAUGCUCGCUUUAAUUUGUACAGCUUGUUUUUAUUUUUCGCAGCUCGACAAAGUAAGAAGAUAAAUAUGCGAGCGGAAGCGAGAUAGAAACAUUGUGAUAAAUACUGACGGCCAAUUAAAAUGAUUAUUCUUUAGGCUCUAAUAUGGCAUGACGCUCUCAUCUGAAUAUAAAAUUUCAACUGCGAUCAACUAAUAGUUUCCGAGAUAUUUAUAAAAAGUUUUCGAAUACGUUGAAUUCUAUAUACGCAGCGUGAUAAACACUAGAGCUACCGGGCAUUUAAUAUGAUUGACAUGUAAUCCCCAUAAAAAUUGUAAUAGAUUAUUUUCAGUUUCUUCAACAUUCAUUAUAGUAUUCAAGUGAAACCAUUUAUUCAGAAUUAUUUCGAGUAUUUAAUUCUUUUCAUGUAUUAAUCAUUGAAAACCAAGAAAACUGAAAGCAAUCAUUUUGAAUGGUAUAGCAGUUCUAGUGUUAAUGCAACAAUCCUCACUGUAGGAAUAAUCGUUCACACACUUAAAACAAACAUUUAUAAUACAUAGAAAUCAAUUUCAUUUAGAUGACAAUAAAUCAUUGAUGUAGUAUUCAUAAUUGCUGGAAAACUUUUCAGUCUAAAACUGUGGCCUUAGACGAAGCUAACUGAUUUUUCUGGGACACUGUGUAGAUAGGGUUGUCGAUCGCUUCGUUCAUUCAACCGACAAUGACUACUAUAACAAGGAUUGUUGUAUUAGUCAUGUCUAUAAAGGCAGAAUUCAAAAUGUAUCAAAAGCUUUUCAUUAACCUCUUGUCCUAUGAUUUAUUUCUUAACUAUGAUUGAUACAAUUACUGUAUUAUUUAUAAUUUAUUAGUAAAAGAAAGAUUUUUUUAUGCUUGUUCUAUGUCUAUAUUUAGUCCAAAGGUUAAGGAUUGAUAACAGAAAAGUAAUAUUUAAUUUAUAUUCCAAAAAAAAAGAAAUAACACUUAGAUUUCUCGAAUUCAGUUUAAAACUUUCAUCGCCAGUCUGACAAGAUUGUAGGUCAAGGGGUUAAUAAUCACUAAUAGUCACUCGCAAUUGAAAUUUUUAUUUAGAAUUCUUUCCUCUUAAUUAUUUCGUUCUGCUACAGUGAAUAGGGCACACGAUUGCGUAAUAGGUAAUUAGUCAAACUAGUCGCGAGAAUUAGUACGUUACAAAAGAAUAAUUUACUACUGAUUGGCAUCUCCAUUCCUUUUGUGUAUACAUCCUUAACCUAUUGAACCGUACAUGCGCGUUUUCAUUAACUUCUCAUCGCUUCCAAGAACCCCUAACUCCUACACAACCGAACGUUACAUUGAAAUUCAUUAAAUCCACGUUAUUCAAUAAAUAAUUAUUUCCUUUCCAUCGAGUUCGAUUCAAUUUUCUUUCCUUCCGUUGAUCCAAUGAAAAACGGCAUUUUCGACUCGGAGAAAGCGGAAGUAUCGAGUAACAUUUUACGUUGUUAAUUAAUCGGGAUGAAUAUAACGUUGAAUCGAAUGAGAAACUCGAGGGGUUCAGUUAACUCGAAUCUGAGCAUGAGAAAAAUGUGCGCUUUCAUCGCGUCGGUUAUUAGAAGAUUCUGCAUGCGUCGCCGCAGCUUAAUCCUUUGCACUCGGAAGUAUUUCUAAAUACUUAACAUUUUCUAACUAGACGAAGACGAUAUUUGUUUAAAUCAACUCAAAAAGUGAUCACAAGUAAAUUGAGAAACAAAGCUAUUUUAGCCCAACAUUUCACACCAAUGCAUUAUAAACAGUUCAAUAUUAAAUAUCAGAUUUUAUAGUUUAACUGCAUUGAAUCAAGCGGUGACCGUAACUCACCUCUCGAGUGCAAAGGGUUGAAAUGUCCGAGGAGAGUGUUGCGAAAUAUUUGAUAGGUAGCUACGUAAAUGAGAAAACUGAAGAGGUCGUUCUUGUAGAAAGUACUGUAAGUGCCAAAACUGAACUUUCUUUCUUAUCCCGCAGUAUACAAUUGAAGCGCAAUUUUUUUCUUGUAAGUAAUCAUCAAUAGUAGUCAUUCAUAAUACUAAUAUUGAAGGAUGAAGUUAUUAAGAUACAUAAUGUUUUAACUCUUUGCGGACGAGACUGCGAUUUUGAUAUUAUUGACACGUUGAAUGCUGUGCGAUUUCAUAGACCAAAAUACACAAAAUGGAAAGAAUAUAAUAUUAAAUCAUUCGAUUGAAUUACAUUAUUAUUGCACGUUGAUUUAGCUGAACGCUAGUGCACUAGGUAGAAUUAAUUAUAAUAUAGAAAUGUUUUCAAAUAAUCAAUGUUCACUUAAUGAACUAUAAUAAUUUUAUUUAGUUUAGGGUCGUCGGUCACCCCCGUGGCGUUCAACGUGUUAAUUUACAUUAAAUUUACGAAUGUAUACAAGAAUUGUUCGCAUAGAAGCACGGCAGUUGCAGUGUCUAGGAAUUUCAGGAAGUGACUGAUAAAAGCUUGCGUUGACCGAUAAAUCAAUCACGGGCGGAUGUUUGCAGAAACGAGUCUGCAAAGGGUUAACUUUCUUCCUCCUCCCGGGAAAUUUGAUGUUUGGCACUCACAACUUUUUCUGCAGACACUCUUCAAUUCCGAACCGAGAAUUAAUGGGAUGCGAAUCGUUUAAUUUGCAGCCGGUACUGUCGGCGGUAUCUUUACAGUGUUGUCCGGUCACCCAUUAGAUACAAUUAAGGUUCUACUGCAAACGAUGCCGGAUAAGUACAAAGGUACAUGGGACGCGAUUAAACAGAUCGUAUCGCAAGAGGGAUCACUCAGUUUGUACAAGGUAAACUGUAUUCUACAAUUUGUACGUUACGUGCUUCGGAUUUUAUUGUGUGAAUCAACUUCAAUCGAAUUUGAACGUAUCCGUGGUAUACUGGUAGUUUGGGGAGUUGCAGCCAGCAUGUUCAUUACUUUUGCAAUAUUUGUCGGUCCCAUUUUGAAUAAAAGCUUCUUGAGUGAUAAGGUACUUAC